rnacentral:rRNA from 1 species
GACGAACGCUGGCGGCGUGCCUAAUACAUGCAAGUCGAGCGAAGCGGGGACGGGUGAGUAACACGUAAGGAACCUCCGUUAAGCGGGGGACAACAUCCGGAAACGGGUGCUAAACCCCAUAUUAUCGAUGGCCUGGUUUCAUUAGUUGGUGGGGGGGGUAACGGCCUACCAGGCAAUGUGGCAUAGCCGACCGAGAGGGUAAUCGGCCACAUUGGGACUGAGACACGGCCCAAACUCCUACGGGAGGCAGCAGUAGGGAAUCUUCCGCAAUGGGCGCAAGCCUGACGGAGCAACGCCGCGUGAGUGAAGAAGGUUUUCGGAUCGUAAAGCUCUGUUGUAAGAGAAGCGGUAUCUUACCAGAAAGCCACGGCUAACUACGUGCCAGCAGCCGCGGUAAUAC